UGCUGCAUCGUUGCUUUACAGAAUCACGAGAAUGACUCAAAUUCUCAUCUCAUGUAUUUUAUCGUCUUUGUGGCUACAAGGUCUCUUCCAGGAUGUGAUCCAGAACCCUGAAAUCAGCUUCAGCUUUGCGUCCCAAUCUGCAGAGAUGAACUGCAGCCACAAGAAAGAUGCUGGUCACAACCAGAUAUACUGGUUCAGACAGCGUCCUGGAGAAACCAUGAGACUGGUGGUCUACACAGCUUUUGGUUUGGAACCAGAAUAUGACAAGACCUCUGAGAACAAAUAUUUAGCCAUCAAAGAGAACGUGGAAAGCGGGGCUCUCACUGUGAAGAAGCUGGAGCCCGGUGACAGCGGCGUGUAUUUCUGUGCUGUCAGCAAACACAGUGAUAGUGACCCCUCUUACUUUGGAAAGGGAACCAAACUCACUGUUUUGGAACCAGGCCAUGACAUCACACCGCCAGAACGCGUAUCAGUGUUUAAGCCAAAGGGGUGCAAAAACAAGAAGGUGACGUUGGUGUGCGUGGCCUCGGGUUUCUAUCCAGACCACGUCACUGUGUCCUGGAAGAUCAAUCAGGACAAAGACACUGAAAAUGUGGCGACUGACGCCAUCGCCCUGCGGGAAGGUAAAUAUUACAGCAUCACCAGCAGGCUGAAGGUCACGGACAGCAUGUGGUUCACAAGGAGCAACAAGUUCACCUGUGUGGUCGAUUUCUUCAACGGAACAGCAACAAAAUCAUAUUAUGGUUCAAUUUACGGUGAAGAAGUGAAAAGAACAAACCUGGCAACAGGUAUCAGAAGAGUCACACGAGACGAGUACGUGAGGGUCAUGCAGAUGGCCAAACUCUCCUACUGUGUGUGCAUCUUCAAGAGCUGCAUCUACGGAGGCUUUGUGGCCUUUUUGGUCUUGAACCAUCAGAGAUUCGCUGGAAAGCAGUGUGACUGAGAGCUGUGAUCAAGCCCC